rnacentral:lncRNA from 1 species
UAAAAAUAGAACUACCAUAUGAUUCAGCAAUCUCACUUCUGGAUAUAUAUCUGAAGAAAAUGAAAACAGGAUAUCAAAGAUACAUCGGCACUCCCAUGCACACUGCAGCAUUAUUCACAAUAGUGAAGAUUAUAAACAACCUAAGUACUAGUCAAGAGAUUAAUGGAUAAAGAAGGUGUGAUAUAUAUGCAUAUAGUUAUGUUUAUAUAUGCACAGGGAAAUAUUAUUCAACCAUGAAUUUUUUUUAAAAAUCCUGCCACUUGCAAUAAAAUGGAUGGACUGUAAGAACACAAGGCUGGUCCUCAAAAAAAAGAUAAAUACUGCAUGAUAUUACCUAUAUGUAGAAUCUAAAAUGCUAAAAUCUUAGAAACAGAUAGGAGAAUGGUAGUUACCCUGGGCUAAGGAAGGUGUGGGGAAAUGUGGAGCUAUUAAUAAAAGGGUACAAAGUUGCAAUUAGAAGAUUAAUACAUUUUGGAAAUCCAGAGCACAGCAUAGUGAUUAUAGCCAACAAUAUUAUAUCAUACACUUCAAAUUGCUAAGGGAGUAGAUCUUAAGUGUUCUCACACAUACAAAAAAAGACAGAUAUAUGAGGUGAUGGAUAUGAUAUUUAACUAGAUGAUAUGAAUCCUUUAACAAUGUAUAGGUAUAUUAAAUCAGCAUGAGGACACAUUUUGUACCAUUUUGUGUGAAUUAAUUCCCAAUGAAGUUGAAAUUUCAAAAGGACAUAAUUAAAUGUAUUAUCUAAACUAUGAUUAGAUCUUGAUUAUGCAAAUGGUAUAAAGAAUUUUCACAAUAAUUCAGGAAUUCAAAUAUGUGAGGAUAUUAAAUCACAUUAAGAAAUAACUAUUAAUUUCCUAGGCUCUGAUAGUAGUAUCAUGACUAUGUAAAAGAAUGUCUUUUUUCUUUUUUUCAGGAGAAGCAUGUUGCAGUAUUGAAUUGCAAAGGAUCGUAUUUCUUUAAAAUUAUUUGGAAAUAAUAAAAAUAUAAUAUCCAUCUACAAUCACCUAUGUAGCAAAUAAGGCAAAAUGCCCUUACAACAGAGCAGAGGAUAUGUAUGUGCUAACUAUAUUUUCUUGCAUAAUGGUACAUGUUUGAAACCUAACAAAUACUAAAAAGACAAAGACAAAAAUGGGAAGAAAGUAAGCUCCACUUCUGAUAUGAUGCCACCAGGCUGAGGCAUCUUUAAGCAACCAGUCCUGGCCUGGCUUGUGAAUAGGGGAUAAAGGUAGUGAGGGUGUGCUAGAAAAAAAUAUGAAUUGUUCCAAGAUCAUCCAUCCUUUCAAGUGAGACUUGACUUGGUCUGUGAAAUUUCUGCCCAGAAACCAGGGAUGAGAAUAUAAGAGGAUGGAAGGUCAUUCCACUUCUUUUGGUAAACACAAUUUAAAAAUAGAGGGCUUAAAUAUAUGAUAAUUUACGGAUCAUACAACUAUCCUGUGAAGAAUUCAGUGCAGCCCAAAUUGACUUUCUUAUCCUGCUCGAUCCAUAAAAUAUGCUUAUUUUUUCCACUAUAUCUGUGUAUUUAUUUCAUAGCUCCCUGUCCAAAUCAAAGAGAAAUACUGUUUUGUCAAAAAUUGAAUUUCUUUUAGUUUGAGUUUUUAAUCAUUUAAUUUUGGGACUUCAGAAUUUUUCUGGAUGAAGUAGAUUAUGACUAUUAUGAAAACAUUAAAUGUUCCACUUGCCAAACUUAAACACACACACAGAAUGCCAGUGAGUCAUUAAUUUUUUUACAUCAAAUAUUCUCAAUCUGCUAAUAACAAACAUUUGGUUGAUCUCAAAAAAGUUUUUUACCAGGGGACUUGUGAUGAUAUAAUGUUCCAUAAUUCUCCUCCCUAAAUUCUCAUCUCAAACUCUUACAAUAUGUAUGAAAGCAUAUAUUCUACUUAGGUAUCCUUGAUAUUGAGUCCCUCAGCAUCUCCUAUCUCCAAAUUUCCUGGCAAUAUAGAGCACAGUAACCCAGGACUACUUACAAAUUUUAGUUAUGACCUGGUAGAGGUUUCUCAGUUUCUCUUCAUUAGUAAUAAAAUCAGAACCACAACCUUCACCAACAACACUUAUUGGGCUAUUCUGUGAGCCAAGUAAUUUUCUAAGAACAGUACUCAUACUAACGCCUUUAAUAUCCACAAUAGGCCUACUGUUAUUAUUUUGCACUUUAUAGAUGUGAAAAUUGAGUUUCAAAAUGAAUCCAAGGUACAUAUCUAAUAUGUGUUGCAGCUAGAAUCCAACAAACCCACAUGGGUUCAGAGUUCAAAUCCUUAACAGACAUGGUAUACUGCCUCCAAUGUAAAAACUUAGGCUCCUUCAGUGGUUGUUGAAAACUUUUUAACAGAUGAGUCCCAUGAAAUGUUAUGCACUAGCCCAGUUUUUAAGGCAAAUAACAUUAGAUUCUUCUGAUUAAAUCAAUACUGAUAAGUUUCUUGCCUUAUCUUACUUUUAACCUGACUGGACUCUGAUCACAAGGAAACCCUGGGACUCAAAUUGAGCAUGGCAAUUACUUUAAAAAUACUUUCCAAAAUAAAUUUAAGUGCAUACUUCCUAGACAAGCAAUAGAUUGGCUGAAUAAAAAUUGUGUAUAUUUUAAUUUUCCAGGUAAUUCUUCUUUUUAAAACAAUCCUAUUAGUGAAUUUUAUGGUCACAGUUAAAUCAAACUUUACUUUCUUUUUUGAUUUAUAAUUUUGUACUAUACUGUCUCACUUUUGUGGCAACACCUUCUAUUUUAAAGAUGAAAAAAGUAAUAGAUUUGCCUUUAAAGACUAAAAUUAAAAAAAGCUUAUAUCCUUUAAGAUCAAAUGAGAGAGAUCAUUUAGGAAAAAGUGGGAGGAAUUAUUGUCCAUGGAAAUGCAUCAUUUAUAAUUAGAUUAUUCUUAACUCAAUAUUCUAGUUAUAUUUUAUUCUUUAGUCUCUCCUCUUAAUCUUGAAUAUCUCCAAUUCUCAACACAAUUAAUCAUAAAUAAUUGUUAAAAUUUAUAAAAGUAAAAUGUAAUCUCUGACACUAAAUACGGUAUUAGAUAAUCUUUUGACAUCUUCUUUUAAACUAAUAUCAAAGUGGGAAAAGAGUUAAAAACAUUUUCCUUGGGUUAAUCUGCAUUAUUAAAUUAAGAUCCUAAAGCAAAUUAAGUGCCCAGUAAAAGAAAGCCAUUGCCAGGG